CUCACUCCCGUAGGCGGCUGCGAGGAGCUGCUACUCUAGGAGUUUUAUAUAACCUCCUUGCUCACUAAGCUUCAUUCUUUUCACAGACCGACAUCCUGGUGUCAACCGGUACUGCCGCGUGGAGAAGCCAGAGAUUAAGCACUGGUUUGAUACUUGGCAUGUUGCUAAAGGUCUGAAAAAAAAGCUCCUGGCUGCUAGCCGCACACAUCAAGUUAUCACACCUUGGAUCCAAAGCAUCCUAAACCACCUCUACUUGGUGGCUGCCAUGGGCCAAGGUGAUGGUGAGCUUGUCAUCAGCAUGUGGAGAAGCCUGCUCAACCACGUCUGCAACAAACACGAUGGCCAUGAUGGGCCCUACAAAAAAUGCCUCCAUGACUCCCUUGACGACAGGGAAUGGUUGAGACCAGCAUCACCUGCAUUUCUUCGUCUCAAAGCCAUUGUCGACAAUGUGAGACUACUGAAAGAUAUCCGCCGGCUC